rnacentral:lncRNA from 1 species
CUCAGAAAAAGAUAAUGUUAAGACAAUGGCCACAGCAAAAGCAUUACAGCAAUGUACUUUGAAGUGCACACAUCAUAGAUUACAUAACUGUAUUCAAAAUGAAGGAUACAAAAGAAACUGGCUGACACAGGGACUAAGAACCACAGACUAUCAGUUCACCAAAGAGGAAGUAUGGGGGCUGUGGAUGUCAUUCAUGCUUCAAAAACUGCACUGAUAGAUCUUAUUUCUGAGAGGUGUCUUAGAAAAUCUCAAGCAGAGUAUGCCAAAAGGCAAGAUUCUACGAUCUGCGAUUUCGCCAGCUAGUUUCUGAGACUAUUAUGAGUGGUGAGAUCCAUUCUCUGAGACAGCGGCCUCUUUUCUUGAGUGCUGUUGAUGCUGGCACAUGACAGAAUAGGAAAUUGAAACCCAAGAGUUUAUUUGCAUUUCCCAGAGCCUGUGGUUAAUCAGAGCCUGAACCUGGAUCGCAGGGAUCUUCUUUUGCUAAACCUGGGGCCAGACCAGGAGGAUGACACGGCACAGUGCUUUUGCCCAUCUUGAUCAGAACCACAAAAUACAGGAAAUUUCUCAGAAAUGGAUGUUCUCUACUGAUUUCCAAACCUUAGGCAUGUCCUCUUAGCACAUUAUUUAACCAAAUUUGGGAAACUUCCUCUAAAAGCUACAAAAAAAUAGAAUGUGGAUCUUCUCCAGAAGGAACCACAGGGAAUUACACAAAAAGGAAUCCUCGAUUCACUGGAUUUAUGAGUUAAGCUUCUGGGUAAAUGGUUUCAACACACAACCUGUAACUAUUCUGGAAGAGUGGCAUGAACAUCCUGCACAUUUAUCUCAUUACAUUGAAAAUCAAUAUGCAAAAGUCAAGUGCCAACUCCUCCCAAGUAACAGGGUCUCAAUUGGCCUGAAGAUUUCAGACCCUGGACAAUGAGGAUCAUUAGGAUCAUUAGGAUCAGACCCUGGGUCAACUAGAAUCAUUAGGAUCAGGGUGGAAAUCACAGUCAAGGAUGGAAAUCCUGGAGUUAAGAAAUGUUGCUAGGGAGAGAAGUGACUUCCAGGGAGCGGUUGUGAAAGGUGCUAAAGCUUAUGGUGCCUUAAAAAUCAACAAUUCCAGCAAUAAAAUCACAUCACUAAUAUUAGCCA